rnacentral:lncRNA from 1 species
UAUACUAAAGGUUCUUUGUGUUUAAUAGAUUGGAUGAGAUUUUUAUGAUAUCUAUUAAACACAAAGAACUUUUAAUAAUAAAAACAACUUUGUUGGCUUAAUCUUAAAGCAAACAAAGUUUUUAUUCAGCAAAAAUUACUUAAAGCUUUUAAAAACAAAGCAAAUAUUUGCACAAAUACUUGCUUUGUUUCAACAUCAAAAAAACAAUCAAAAACAAUAGAUUUCAAUUGAUUUCAAUUUUGAUUGACAAUAUAUGUCAAUCAAUAUUAAAAUUAAAUCGAUUGUCAUUAUAUUAUAAAUAUUCAUACACUACAAAACUUGCCUCCUAUAUUCUAUUAAUUUUUUAAACGUUGAUUAUUGGUUGACUCAGAAAUACGUCAUUUUCACGGAAAAUAGCCAAAAUUGCUUCUUAAUUUUCGUGAAUUUUCACGGAAAAUAUAAUUUACGUAUUAAAACAGUGUACAAAAAGUAAUGUUACUACAAUUUAUGUUCUACUUAUGUAGAGCUUUCUAAUAUUGCGAGACAUUUUAUUUUAAAACCAAUGACUAGUCUAUAAUAAUUGAUUGAAUUAUAAGAUUAAAUCAAUAAAUAAUCAUUAAAAACAAUUAAAAUAAAAAAAUUCAAUUUAAAUAUUGUUUUUAUUUGUCUGAUUUAAAUCAUGGUUUAAAUCAAAAAAACCCUUUAUAUAUUCCAUCUUUUUGAGGCAGAGGGACAUUAUUCUUGGUUUUAUUAUAUUUAAAUUUAAUUUCUGUGGAUAUUUUUCAUAUUUAGUUUGCGUACAACAGUUAACAACUUUAAUCUUAUACAUUAGUUUUAGUUAUAACUUGAUUGUUAAUGAUUUGAUUUAUAGAUUUUUAUAGCAAUGCAAGAUUGAAUUUAGCAGAAGGCUAAACUUCUGCUCUGGAGACAAAAAAGGAAGACAGCCAAAAUGAUCAGCCAAAAUAAAGAUUAAAGAGACAAAAAAUUGUGUAUAUUUUGGUGUAGAUGAUUUAUCCUCAAUUUCUUAUAAUAAAACAAAAAAUAUUAUUAAACUUUGGGAUUUACCUGUAACUCUUAACUCUUUACAAAAGUUCAAUGUUUGCUCUGAGAAGUUAAAUGAACAAAAUUUAUUAAAUGUGCAAUCUGUAUCUCAAACAUUAAUGAGAAUUGUUUUGUGUCAGUGCCAGAAAUUGAAUGUACACCUGCAAAUUUCGUAAUUCAUAAAAAUAUUAUGAAUCCAUUAACAAAUAAAGUUGUAUCCUUGAAAGAUAUGCUGGUAUUAUUGGCACAAUGGGCAAGCAUUGAAGUGCAACUUUGUGAACUACAAAACACAUCAAAUUCAGUUAUAAAAAUUUGAGUAACAAAGGUUAAUUAUUUGGCACAAAUUAGAGUUAAAGACGAAGGAGAUUGUAUAUAUGUUAUUUACUAAGAAUAGUUUUUUAAGAUGGCCUAGCUGUAAAAUUAAACUAUGCAGGGAGAAGACAAAAAAUUGGAAUAGCAAAAAUGUUGAUUGCAUAAGCUGCUAUUGAAACUGUAAAGUGAAAUAAGCGUAGCUUAUGCAGACAUGUAAUAGAGAUAGCGGAAGAAAAAAUAAUAAUUGUGGGCACCAAAUAUCAUAAGCUAAACACGAUUCAAUAACAAGUAGCUCAGCCAAUAUCGAAACUACUCUAUAAAUUUUAUAGUGAAUGUUUUUAUUUAAAACUCAAUGUGUCAGUUUUUAGUUUAAGUUUGGUGUUAGCAAUAUGUAUAAUUAACCGAGAAAUUAUGUUAAAUAAAUUUUUAUACUUGUAUCA